rnacentral:rRNA from 1 species
UAUUGGACAAUGGGCGAAAGCCUGAUCCAGCAAUACCGCGUGUGUGAAGAAGGCCUUAGGGUUGUAAAGCACUUUCAAUUGGGAGGAAAACCUGCCGGUCAAUACCCGGUAGCUUGACAUUACCUUUAGAAGAAGCACCGGCUAACUCCGUGCCAGCAGCCGCGGUAAUACGGAGGGUGCGAGCGUUAAUCGGAAUUACUGGGCGUAAAGCGUGCGUAGGCGGUUCGUUAAGUCAGAUGUGAAAGCCCUGGGCUCAACCUGGGAACUGCAUUUGAAACUGGCGGACUAGAGUUUAGUAGAGGGGAGUGGAAUUUCAGGUGUAGCGGUGAAAUGCGUAGAUAUCUGAAGGAACACCAGUGGCGAAGGCGACUCCCUGGACUAGAACUGACGCUGAGUACGAAA